GACGAACGCUGGCGGUGUGCCUAACACAUGCAAGUCGAGCGGAGAUAGUAGCAAUACUAUCUUAGCGGCGGACGGGUGAGUAACGGGUGGGCAACCUGCCUUAGAAUGGGGGAUAACACAGGGAAACUUGUGCUAAUACCUCAUAACAUAUCGGCAUUGCAUAUUUCUGAUAUAAAAGGAGAAUUCCGGUUUGAGAUGGGCACGCGUCCGAUUAGCUAGUUGGCGGUGUAAUGUACCACAGAGGCGAGGAUCGGUAGCCGAACUGAGGGGUUGAUCGGCCACAUUGGGACUGAGACACAGCCCAGACUCCUACGGGAGGCAGCAGUGGGGAAUAUUGCGCAAUGGGGGAAACCCUGACGCAGCAACGCCGCGUGAAGGAUGAAGGUCUUCGGAUUGUAAACUUCUUUGAUCGGGGAAGAAUAAAUGACGGUACCCGAAAAACAAGCCACGGCUAAAUACGUGCCAGCAGCCGCCGUAAUAC
rnacentral:rRNA from 1 species